GAGUUUGAUCAUGGCGUCAGGAUGAACGCUAGCUACUAGGCUUAACACAUGCAAGUCGAGGGGAAACGAUAUUGGAAGCUUGCUUCCGAUAGGCGUCGACCGGCGUACGGGUGAGUAACGCGUAUCCAACCUGCCCACCACUUGGGGAUAACCUUGCGAAAGUAAGACUAAUACCCAAUGACGUCUCUAGAAGACAUCUGAAAGAGAUUAAAGAUUUAUCGGUGAUGGAUGGGGAUGCGUCUGAUUAGCUUGUUGGCGGGGUAACGGCCCACCAAGGCGACGAUCAGUAGGGGUUCUGAGAGGAAGGUCCCCCACAUUGGAACUGAGACACGGUCCAAACUCCUACGGGAGGCAGCA
rnacentral:rRNA from 1 species